UACAGAGGGGGCAAGCGUUGUUCGGAAUUACUGGGCGUAAAGGGCGCGUAGGCGGCCUGCUAAGUCGAACGUGAAAUCCCUGGGCUCAACCCAGGAACUGCGUCCGAUACUGGUUGGCUUGAAUUCGGGAGAGGGAUGUGGAAUUCCAGGUGUAGCGGUGAAAUGCGUAGAUAUCUGGAGGAACACCGGUGGCGAAGGCGGCAUCCUGGACCGGUAUUGACGCUGAGGCGCGAAAGCCAGGGGAGCAAACGGG
rnacentral:rRNA from 1 species